UUCUCAGACAGCUCCUGGGCCAAGACUCAGGGAGACAUUGAGACAGAGCGCUUGGCACAAGAGGAGCUGGGUCAGGGCGAAGUCCCAGGGCCCUAGGCGUGGUUCUGAGUCUCAGGCCCCGAAGGUAGUGGAUGGGCUGGGGAGUCCCAGCGUUGGGGAUUCCUAAUCUCCGCAGAGUUUCUCUUCUCCCUCUCCCAACCUGCGACGGGUCCUUCUUCCUGGACACUCACUACGCGGACCCAGUUCUCACUUCCACUGAGUGUCGGGUUGCUAGAGAAGCCAAUCAGGGUCGCGCGGCCCCGGUUCUAAAGUCCACACGCACCCACGGGGACUCGGAGUCUUCCCAGACGCCGACGAUGGGGUCAUGGCACCCCGAACCCUCCUCCUGCUGCUCUCGGGGACCUUGGCCCUGACCGAGACCAAGGCGGGCUCCCACUCCUUGAGGUAUUUCAGCACCGCCCGUGUCCCGGCCCGGCCGCGGGGAGCCCCGCUUCAUCGCCGUGGGCUACGUGGACGACACGCAGUUCGUGCGGUUCCACAGCGACGCCUAGAGUCCGAGGAUGGAGCCGCGGGCGCGGUGGGUGGAGCAGGAGGGGCCUGGAGUAUUGGGAGCUGCAGACACUGGGCGCCAAGGCCCAGGCAUAGACUGGCUGAGUGAACCCGAGGACCCUGCUCCGAUACUACAACCAGAGCGAGGCCGGUGAGUGACCCCCGCCCGGGGCGCAUAUCACUUACUCCUGGCUUCAUGCCUCACGGACGGCCCUGGUCCCCCUGAGUCUCCGGGUCCAAGAUCAACCCCGAGGCUGCGGGACCUGCAGAGAUCCUCGACCCUGGAGAGCCCCAGGAGCCUUUACCCGGUUUCAUCUUCAGUUGAGGCCAAAAUCUCUGCAGGUUGCUAGGGGCUGGGCCGGGGCUGGGCCAGGGCUGGGUGGGCGGGGCUGACCGCGGGAACUGGGCCAGGGUCUCACAUCCCCCAGGUAAUGUUUGGCUGCGACGUGGGGCCUGAGGGGCGCCUCCUCCGCUGGUAUGAACAGUACGCCUACGCGGGAAGGAUUACAUCGUCCUAAAUGAGAACCUGCGCUCCUGGACCGCCGCGGACACUGCGGCUCAGAUCACCCUGAGCAAGUGGGAGGCGGCCAAUGUGGCUGAGCAAAGGAGAGCCUAUCUCGAGGGCAUCUGCGUGGAGUGGCUCCGCAGACACCUGGAGAACGGGAAGGAGACGCUGCAGCGCGCGGACCCCACCAAGACACACGUGACCCACCACCCUGUCUUUGACUAUGAGGCCACCCUGAGGUGCUGGGCCCUGGGCCUCUACCCUGUGGAGAUCAGACUGACCUGGCAGUCGGAUGGGGAGGACCAGACCCAGGACAUGGAGCUCAUGGAGACCAGGCCCGCAGGGGAUGGAACCUUCCAGAAGUGGGUGGCUGUGGUGGUGUCUGCUGGAGAGGAGCAGAGAUUCACGUGCCAUGUGCAGCAUGAGGGUCUGCCCAAGCCUCUCACCCUGAGAUGGGAGCUGUCUCUCCAGCCCACCAUCCCCAUCAUGGGUAUCGUUGCUGGCCUGGUUGUCCUUGCAGCUGUCAUCACUGGAGCUGUGGUCGCUGCUGUGCUAUGGAGGAAGAAGAGCUCAGUCACACAUUUCUGGAAACUUCUCGAGGGUCCAAGACUAGGAGGUUCCUCUAGGACCUCAUGGCCCUGCCACCUUUCUGGCCUCUCACAGGACAUUUUCUUCCAACAGAUAGAAAAGCAGGAAGCUACUCUCAGGCUGCAAGUAAGUAUGAAGGGGGCUGAUCCCUGAAAUCCUUGGGAUAUUGUGGUUGGGAGCCCAUGGGGGAGCUCACCCAGCCCACAGUUCCUCCUCUAGCCACAUCUCCUGUGGGCUCGGACCAGGUUCUGUUUUUGUUCUAC